ACAGGAAGGUGGGGGGAGAGGCCUCUGACACUGCCACCCCAGCCCCGGGCCUGGUUUCUCUGCACACCAGGGCUGAGGGCACUGAGGCCAGGAGCCAUCUUUCAUGCCAGGCUGGGGACAUACGGGUCCUCUGGCAAACCCUCAGCUCCCGCACGAGAGGGGAAUGUGCAUCAGAAAGGCAGCCCCUCUGCUCCACAGCAAGACUCAGGGGCCCCCAGACCAGGCUGGCAAGUCCCUUGGUGCUUGGUGCAAGCAACCCUGUGAAAAGAGCGCUCUGCACACUCCAGGCCUUUGUCGGCCAAUGGCCCAGGAUGUCGCAUAAUUGCACAGAAGUAAGAACAGCACAGGACCCCCUCCCUCUGGAAGGGAAGAUGGCAAGCCUGGAGAAAUCGAUCUGCUCAAAGGAAUCAAAUUAAAGGACCUGGUGCUGCAGCCAAGGGCAAGCCAGGCUCUCAGGCUGUCCGAGCCUCAGAUGCUGGAAGGCUCCUCCCAGCCUCCCUCGUCUCAGAGUGGCCUCUGGCCCGUGGUCGCUGGGACCCCCUGUACCUUCCGGCCCUGCUAUGCCCGGGAGUGUGGAAGCCCACGCCGGCCUCCCACCUGCCUGUGUCACUGGCCCAUAAGAACCCACACAAGCCUCUUAAUCCCCAUCUGUGAACCCUCUCGCCUGGAAGUGGGGAGACAAGGUUUACGGGUCUGGGACGGCCUAUAAAACACUGUUGCAGUGUGUCAUUGCCCUGACCCUCCUUGUCUGAGCCCCAUUCUGGAAGCUGGUCCCAGAGUCCAACUGCAGCCUCCUUGUGUGGCUAAAGCAGGGCGGGGCCAGACACAGGCCAGGUCCCUGCCAACCCUACACCAUCUCCAGGAAGUGCUACUUAACCCGGCAGGGGGAAAGGCCCAGGCCCUGGAGUUAGACCACCCUGGUCUCACUGGUGGCCCAGCUCUGCCAUUUACUGUUAGUGAUGCAAUCCCCAGCUCCCAGAUUUAUGAGCCUUGUCAUCUGAGAAAGGGGACUCAUGCCACCUCCGUGGUCAGGGGAAGGACAGGCAGCCUGGUGGGGAGGCUGGCAUCUUAGCCAAGGUCACCCAGUGAGCUGGUGGCAGAGUGGAGCCAGUGACAGGACCUGCUGGGGUCCUGGGCUGAUGGCCUAUCAGUGGGCGGCUGCAGGAAACGGAGCCCAGAGGGUCGGUAGGACCCACAGGGCAGAGGUGAACUGAACUCAACACAUGGCCACCUUCCAUCUGCUCCAAGUUUUCCAACAUGAAGCACAUAAAAUCCUUAAUGUAAAAUACAAAACCAUCUGAAAAUA